rnacentral:rRNA from 1 species
AGUGAACGCUGGCGGUAGGCCUAACACAUGCAAGUCGAACGACAGCACCGUAAGAGCUUGCUCUCACGGGUGGCGCGCGGCGGACGGGUGCGUAAUACACCGGAAUCUACUUUUUCGUGGGGGAUAAUGCCGGGAAACUUCCGCUAAUACCGCAUAAGACCUACGGGUGAAAGCAGGGGACCUUCGGACCUUUUGCGUUUGAUUGUGCCGGUGUCGGAUUAGCUAGUUGGCGGGGUAACGGCUUACCAAGGCGACGAUCCGUAGCUGGUCAGAGAGGAUGGACAACCACACGGGAACUGAGAAACGGUCCAGACUCCUAGGGGAGGCCACAGUGGGAAAUAUUAGGGGAUGGGGGCGAGCCUGAUCCAGCCAUACCGCGUAGGUGAAGAAGGCGUUCGGGUUGUAAAACGCUUUUGUUGGGAAGAAAAAGCAGCAGUUUAAUACGCGACUGUACUGACGGUACCCAGAGAAUAAGCACCGGCUAACUUCGUG